GGAUGGAUAAGCUAAAUGGUAAAGCAACCAGUAUGUGACUGGCGUUCGGUUGGUUCAAUUCCAACUCCAUCCG
rnacentral:tRNA from 1 species